rnacentral:rRNA from 1 species
CCUACGGGAGGCUGCAGUGGGGAAUAUUGGACAAUGGGGGCAACCCUGAUCCAGCCAUGCCGCGUGUGUGAAGAAGGCCCUCGGGUUGUAAAGCACUUUCAGUGAGGAAGAACGCCUGGUGGUUAAUACCCAUCAGGAAAGACAUCACUCACAGAAGAAGCACCGGCUAACUCCGUGCCAGCAGCCGCGGUAAUACGGAGGGUGCGAGCGUUAAUCGGAAUUACUGGGCGUAAAGCGCGCGUAGGUGGCUUGAUAAGCCGGUUGUGAAAGCCCCGGGCUCAACCUGGGAACGGCAUCCGGAACUGUCAAGCUAGAGUGCAGGAGAGGAAGGUAGAAUUCCCGGUGUAGCGGUGAAAUGCGUAGAGAUCGGGAGGAAUACCAGUGGCGAAGGCGGCCUUCUGGACUGACACUGACACUGCGGUGCGAAAGCGUGGGUAGCAAACAGGAUUAGAUACCCUAGUAGUC